GACCUGCGGAGGGAUCAUUACCGAGUUUACAACUCCCAAACCCCUGUGAACAUACCACUUGUUGCCUCGGCGGAUCAGCCCGCUCCCGGUAAAACGGGACGGCCCGCCAGAGGACCCCUAAACUCUGUUUCUAUAUGUAACUUCUGAGUAAAACCAUAAAUAAAUCAAAACUUUCAACAACGGAUCUCUUGGUUCUGGCAUCGAUGAAGAACGCAGCAAAAUGCGAUAAGUAAUGUGAAUUGCAGAAUUCAGUGAAUCAUCGAAUCUUUGAACGCACAUUGCGCCCGCCAGUAUUCUGGCGGGCAUGCCUGUUCGAGCGUCAUUUCAACCCUCAAGCACAGCUUGGUGUUGGGACUCGCGUUAAUUCGCGUUCCCCAAAUUGAUUGGCGGUCACGUCGAGCUUCCAUAGCGUAGUAGUAAAACCCUCGUUACUGGUAAUCGUCGCGGCCACGCCGUUAAACCCCAACUUCUGAAUGUUGACCUCGGAUCAGGUAGGAAUACCCGCUGAACUUAAGCAUAU
rnacentral:rRNA from 1 species